rnacentral:rRNA from 1 species
CAAUAGCGUAUAUUAAAGUUGUUGCGGUUAAAAAGCUCGUAGUUGGAGUUCUGCCAGGUGCCGCCUGUCCGCCCCAGUGGUGAGUACGUGGCGCGCAUUUGGCCCUUUCAAGGGGAGCGUAUCUGCACUUUAUUGUGUGGUGCGGGAUCCUUGACUUUUACUUUGAGGAAAUAGGAGUGUUCCAAGCAGGCUCUCGUCGUGCACAGCUCAGCAUGGAAUAAUAGCAUUGGACCUCGAUUCUAAGCUGUUGGUUGCCAGAAGCGAGGUAAUGAUGAAGAGGGAUAGUUGGGGGCAUUCGUAUUUAACUGUCAGAGGUGAAAUUCUUGGAUUUGUUAAAGACGGACCACUGCGAAAGCAUCUGCCAGGGAUGUUUUCAUUGA